GAUCAAGCUAGAAAGGGCGCAUGGGGGAUGUCUUGGUAUCAGAAGAUUUUGAAGGGCGUUGAAGGCUGCGAUAUGUCCGGGGGAGUUGUCAAACAAACUUUGAUCCCGGAAUUCCCGAACCGGUAUCGACUGAAUUCAUAGGUCGAUGCGAGCAACACAGGGAACUGAAACAUCUAAGUACCUGUAGGAAAAGAAAGAAAAAUCGAUUCCGUUAGUAGCGGCGAGCGAAAGCGGAGAAGCCCAAACCAGGAGGAUUUUCCUCUUGGGGUUGUAGGGUCUUUCGCAUGGGAGUCAAAAAGUUGCCAAAUAGUAGAAGCGUUUGGAAAGACGCACCACAGAGGGUGAUAGUCCCGUACACGAAAUUUGUGCAGCCUCCCGAAAGAUACCUGAGUAGGUCGGGUCACGUGAAACCCUGACUGAAUCCGCGGAGACCAUUCCGCAAGGCUAAAUACUCUCUGAUAACCGAUAGUGAACCAGUAGAGCGAUCGAAAGAUGAAAAGAACCCUUAUAAAGGGAGUGUCUAUAGAAUCUGAAACCAUGUGCCUACAAGCGGUCGGAGCAAUGUGAUUUUAUAUCCGUGUGACGGCGUGCCUUUUGCAUAAUGAUCCGGCGAGUUGGCGUAAACAGCCCGGUUAAGGUCUUUCGGACCGAAGCCAUAGGGAAACCAAGUCUGAAUAGGGCGAAGUAUGUUGUUUGUGCCAGACGCGAACCCCAGUGAUCUACCCAUGAGCAGGUUGAAGCGCGGGUUAAACUGCGUGGAGGACCGAACCCACUUGGGUUGAAAACCGAGGGGAUGACGUGUGGGGAGGAGUGAAAGUCUAAUCAAACUGGGAGAUAGCUCGUUCUCUUCGAAAUAGCUGUAGGGCUAGCCUUGAGUGUAACUAUCAGACGGGGGUAGAGAUACUGAAUUGGAUACCGGCGCUCCCAAGCGUACGGUUCCUAACCAAACUCCGAAUACCGUUUGAACUAUCUCAGGAGUCAGUCCGCGAGGGAUAAGCUUCGCGGACGAGAGGGAAACAACCCAGAUCGCCAGCUAAGGUCCCUAAAUAGACCUCAGUCACUAAGGAAGUUUGAAUGCCGAGACAGCCAGGAUGUUGGCUUAGAAGCAGCCAUCAUUUAAAAAGUGCGUAACAGCUUACUGGUCGAGCAUUUAAGCGCCGAUAAUGAACGGGAGUAAGGUCUAUACCGAAGCUGCGGAAUUGGUAGUUUACUAUCAAUUGGUAGAAGAGCGUUGUACAGGAGAUACAAGCCGUACCGAAAGGAGCGGUCUCGGUCUGUACAAGCGAUUAUGUCGGAAUGAGUAACGAUAAAACAGGUGGAAAUCCUGUUCGCCGAAAGCCUAAGGUUUCCUGGGGAAGGUAAUUCCGCCCAGGGUCAGCCGGUACCUUAGUCCAGGCCGAAAGGCGUAGACGAUGGAAAAUUAGGUCAACAUUCCUAUGCUAUUGUUGUGGACUGAUGGAGUGACGGCGUUUGUAAGGUGGGUCACCGAUUAGAAAUGGUGGUACCCCUGUAAGAUUGGCAAGGGCUAAAAGACUUGUAUAAAAAUCGAGCGGGGGUCUGAUGUCUUGUUGCGAAGGCCAUCUGGAAAACGUCCAAGAAAAACUUCUAAGGGUUGAAACAAUGAUAACCGUACUAAAACUGACACAGGUAGGCGGGUUGAGAAUACUAAGGCGCUCGGGAGAAUACUAGUUAAGGAACUCUGCAAAAUGAUCCCGUACGUUCGCAAUAAGGGAUGCCUUUGGGGGUGUUAAAGCUUCUGAAGGUCACAGUAAAUCGGUAUCAGCAACUGUUUAUCAAAAACACAGGACCGUGCUAACACGUAAGUGGAUGUAUACGGUCUGACGCCUGCCCGGUGCCGGUAAGUUAAGGAAGGGGGUUAUCGCAAGAAAAGCUCUCGACCGAAGCUCCGGUAAACGGCGGCUCUAACCUUGAGAGUCCUAAGGUAGCGAAGUUCCUUGUCGGGUAAGUUCCGACCUGCAUGAAAGGCGUAAUGACUGAUACACUGUCUCAACUAGUAACCCGGUGAAAUUGUAGUCGUGGUGAAGAUGCCACGUACCCGCAGUAAGACGG
rnacentral:rRNA from 1 species